CUCAGGACCACCUGAGUCCAGACUCAGAGAGUCGCUGAAGCAUCUUGAGACUGGCUGUUCCCAGGAUUUCUUCCCUGAAGCCAUAAAGAGAAAGCUGUGUCUUCAGAGCAAGAGAAAAAAACACAGAACAGAUCUUCGGCUCUACUCUUUCCGAAAGUGGCUUGAGCUCUGAGGAUGAAUUCUCAGCUUGCCAGGUAUCCCCUUGGAGUGCAAGGACAUCUCUGCACUGCUCUUCGGCAGGAAAGCAAUGGCAUUGUAUAAACUGUACCAAGGGGACAGAGUGUGAUUAAAAACAUUUGUGGCACAUCGUUAAAUAUAGAAAUCAUUAUAAUUGGAUUAAUUUAGGAAAUACACUGUGAUGCCUGGGUUUCCCCCAGAGAACUAGAUGUACAGGAAGAAGUAAAUUUUCAAAAGGUACAGAGUUGACAUUCCCUCAUAAAAAUGUGGAUUCCAUAAUUUUAGACUCCCUUAAUCCCCAGCUCUGCUGAAGUCUACAUUGGCACUGGGUGAUUAAUUUUACUUGAGUCACGACUGUCUUUUCUCAAAAUUCUGUGUGUGAAUAGCUGCAGAUAAAUACAAUGCUUCUCUAUGAAAAUGUGGUCCUAUCCUGGUCCUGUAUGCUCACUUAGAAUCCCAGGACAGGUGCAGCAGAUACUGGAAGACUAGGAGUUCAAGGCCAUCCUUGGCUGUAUAGCAAGUUUGAAAGCAACCUGUGUGACAUGAAAACCUGUUUAAAAAAGAAACAAAUGAACAAGUCAAUGUGGCCCUAAAUAUACAAGUAACCUUUGAAAAUGCCAUUAGAAGGUCCAUCUGGGCAACAUUAGACCCAAUUCGUCGUUUUUCUUUGGCCUAGAGAGAUGACUCAGCAGUUAAGAUUUUGAACUGUUCUUACCUACGACCCAAAUUCGGUUUCCAGUAACAUCAUCA
rnacentral:lncRNA from 1 species